rnacentral:misc_RNA from 1 species
AAAUGCGAUAAGUAAUGUGAAUUGCAGAAUUCAGUGAAUCAUCGAAUCUUUGAACGCACCUUGCGCUCCUUGGUAUUCCUUGGAGCAUGCCUGUUUGAGUAUCAUGAAAUCUUCAAAGUAAAUCUUUUGUUAACUCAAUUGGUUUCUACUUUGGUAUUGGAGGUCUUUGCAGAUUCACACCUGCUCCUCUUUGUUCAUUAGCUGGAUCUCAGUGUUAUGCUUGGUUCCACUCGGCGUGAUAAGUUAUCUAUCGCUGAGGACACUGUAAAAGGUGGCCAAGGUAAAUGCAGAUGAACCGCUUCUAAUAGUCCAUUGACUUGGACAAUACUUUUAUGAUCUGAUCUCAAAUCAGGUAGGACUACCCGCUGAACUUAAGC